AUUGAACGCUGGCGGCAUGCCUUACACAUGCAAGUCGAACGGUAACGGGCCUUCGGGUGCCGACGAGUGGCGAACGGGUGAGUAAUACAUCGGAACGUGCCCGAUCGUGGGGGAUAACGAGGCGAAAGCUUUGCUAAUACCGCAUACGAUCUACGGAUGAAAGCAGGGGACCGCAAGGCCUUGCGCGGACGGAGCGGCCGAUGGCAGAUUAGGUAGUUGGUGGGAUAAAAGCUUACCAAGCCGACGAUCUGUAGCUGGUCUGAGAGGAUGAUCAGCCACACUGGGACUGAGACGCGGCCCAGACUCCUACGGGAGGCAGCAGUGGGGAAUUUUGGACAAUGGGCGGAAGCCUGAUCCAGCCAUGCCGCGUGCAGGAUGAAGGCCUUCGGGUUGUAAGCUGCUUUUGUACGGAACGAAAAGCCUUCUUUUAAUACAGGAGGGUCAUGACGGUACCGUAAGAAUAAGCACCGGCUAACUACGUG
rnacentral:rRNA from 1 species